GCUUGGAUGGCUCAGCUGGUUGGAGCGCAGGUCUCAUACGCAAGUAUGACCGUCGACGACGGGCAAUCCUGAGUUCGAUCCUCAUUCCGAGCA